GUAGAGGGAUCACAUGCCCGUGUCCUUCCCCAAGGUUUUCUAACAGCAACGGCUGGGGAAACCCCAGGAAUUCUUGGUGGCCAUGUUUCCAGGCUGGAGAAGUGGAAGCAGUCUCUGGCUUCUGUUAUCCUGAGGUUCCAGUAUCUGGUGUGAUCUAAAGCUGAAUGAUGUUCCUACUAAUUAUAGUAAGCAGUAAGCAAAGGAAUCCAGCAAGUUAGCUGUCAGCCUAUUUGUUUCUAUGAAAAGUGCAACUUGUGAUAAGAAAGUUCUUUUUAUGAAAGACGUGCUUUAAACCUGAGGCUCAGUGAUACAUAUUAGCGCCGGGAGUCUGUGCUGUUUUGAAGGAAUAAGGCUUGGUGAGCAUACUGCAAGCAGAUCAAGCUCCCAGUGAGAGAGAAGUGACAUUUAUGAAGAAUGGAAUAUGAGUGCGAGACAUUCUCUCUUUCCAGGUAAUAAAUACAGCCUCCUCCCCUUGCAGAAUGAAAGCUGGGCAAUUUUAUUUGUUGCGUGGUGUCAUGUAUAUUUAUGGUUUAUAAUUAUGAUGGCACAUAAAUGUUAAACAGCAUCAAAAGAAUCAACACUUCAUAAUGUGCUUGUGGGUUACACAAACGUCAGCAGAAAAGACUUCAUCUGUAGCAAUGGGCAGCUGGCAGCAUGCAGUAUUUGAGCAGCCAUCUGGCCCAUUUGGUAGAUUUGAAUGGUGUUUGUAAUGUAACAUUGAUGAGCUCUCAAAAGAGCCUUCUUCUAGUCAAGAUGUGACUAGCUUUUUUUUUUAAUCCUUUUUUCUUCUCCUUCUGAGGCAACUAUACUAACACCUGCAUGCAGACAUUCAAAAUCAUGAUUUCUCUCUGCCUCUGAGUUAACUAAUCACUCAAACAUACCCAUGGGACCAAUCCAUCACCCUGAAUUCCUGACAUUUCCCUUGGAUAAUUUCCUCGUUCUGCUUUUCCUUUUUCUUAGGAUACCAUCUACUCUUCUUCCUCAUGAGAAAGCACCAGGCAAAGCACGCUUCUGUGCAUAAUGUUAUGCUGGACUCUGAAAAAACAGGCUCCAAGGGAGCAGAUGGGGGCUAGGUUAUGUUCUAAGAAGGUUCUAUGACCCCGCACAAUCUUUUGAGGUAUUCCUCUCACUGUUAGCAACUCCAUUAAUAGGCUCCUGAAAGAAAUAAUUCAUGUUAAAUUAAAGGAGCAAUUUUGCUUUGCUUAGAAAUGUUGUUUUGGAUGCAGCGAAUGCAUUUGUCUUGGGCGCCUCGAAAUCAAUUUCCAUGAACUCCAUGGAAGCACCUUCCUGACUCCUAAGUGAACAGGACUUUGCCUCCCUUCAGCUCCAUAGCAUGGGGUCUAGGGUUUGCUCGUGGAGCGUGAUACCAGAGCAGUCAGUCACUCCUCGGAAGGGAAGACAGAGCAGCCAUUCAGGGAGCAGAGUGCGGGCUGCGUUUCAGCAUGUAGAUGCACUGAGCAGCCACGGUGCCCUCACUGUGCCCUAGACACUGGGCUCCCUGCAGAGAAUGGUCAGGGCCCUUUGCACUUAGAAAGCAUCACUCUGCUAAGGACAGCAGUACUGUUGUACUCAGUACAGGGUACUCUAUCUUGCACAUAAUAGAAAAUUAAUAUAUAUCUGUUGGCUUUUGUAAUGUGAAUGGAAAUUUUCAUACAUAUAUAAAAAUAGAAUAUCACACCACAUACUUAACAUACAGCCUCAAUAACUGUUAACUCAUGACUAAUGUUAUUUCAUCUACAAUCCUAUCCACUUGCCCCUUCCAGAGUUAUUUUGAAGCAAUUCCAGAUAUCAUAUCAUUUAAUCCACAUAUAUUUCAAUAGGAAUCUCUAAAAGGUAAGGAUU